AACUAACAAGGAUUCCCCUAGUAACGGCGAGUGAAGAGGGAAAAGCUCAAAUUUAAAAUCUGGCGGUCUACGGCCGUCCGAGUUGUAAUCUAGAGAAGUGUUUUCCGCGCUGGACCGUGUACAAGUCCUUUGGAACAAGGCGUCAUAGAGGGUGAGAAUCCCGUCUACGACACGGACUGCCAGCGCUUUGUGAUACACUCUCAACGAGUCGAGUUGUUUGGGAAUGCAGCUCAAAAUGGGUGGUAAAUUCCAUCUAAAGCUAAAUAUUGGCGAAAGACCGAUAGCGAACAAGUACCGUGAGGGAAAGAUGAAAGCACUUUGGAAAGAGAGUAAACAGUACGUGAAAUUGUUGAAAGGGAACGCUUGAAGUCAGUCGCGUCUUCAGAAAUCAGCUGGGCUUCUGCCUAGUGGACUUUUCUGUGGGACGGGCCAGCAUCAGUUUUGGCUGCCACAAAAAGGUGGGAGAAGGUGGCACCUGCGUGUGUGUUAUAGCCUCCGAUCGUAUGUGGCAGCCGGGAUUGAGGACCGCAGCACGCCUUUAUGGCCGGGGUUCGCCCACGUAACGUGCUUAG
rnacentral:rRNA from 1 species